rnacentral:rRNA from 1 species
AUUGAACGCUGGCGGCAGGCCUAACACAUGCAAGUCGAGCGGCGGCGGGAAGUAGCUUGCUACUUUGCCGGCGAGCGGCGGACGGGUGAGUAAUGUCUGGGAAACUGCCUGAUGGAGGGGGAUAACUACUGGAAACGGUCGCUAAUACCGCAUAACGUCGCAAGACCAAAGCGGGGGACCUUCGGGCCUCUUGCCUUCAGAUGUGCCCAGAUGGGAUUAGCUAGUAGGUGGGGUAACGGCUCACCUAGGCGACGAUCCCUGGCUGGUCUGAGAGGAUGACCAGCCACACUGGAACUGAGACACGGUCCAGACUUCUACGGGAGGCAGCAGUGGGGAAUAUUGCACAAUGGACGAAAGCCUGAUGCAGCCAUGCCGCGUGUAUGAAGAAGGCCUUCGGGUUGUAAAGUACUUUCAGCGGGGAGGAAGGCGUUGUGGUUAAUAACCACAGCGAUUGACGUUACCCGCAGAAGAAGCACCGGCUAACUCCGUGCCAGCAGCCGCCGUAAGAC